GAUGAACGCUGGCGGCGUGCCUAAUACAUGCAAGUCGAGCGAACGGACGUGAAGCUUGCUUCUCCGAUGUUAGCGGCGGACGGGUGAGUAACACGUGGAUAACCUACCUAUAAGACUGGGAUAACUUCGGGAAACCGGAGCUAAUACCGGAUAAUAUUUUGAACCGCAUGGUUCAAAAGUGAAAGACGGUCUUGCUGUCACUUAUAGAUGGAUCCGCGCUGCAUUAGCUAGUUGGUAAGGUAACGGCUUACCAAGGCAACGAUGCAUAGCCGACCUGAGAGGGUGAUCGGCCACACUGGAACUGAGACACGGUCCAGACUCCUACGGGAGGCAGCAGUAGGGAAUCUUCCGCAAUGGGCGAAAGCCUGACGGAGCAACGCCGCGUGAGUGAUGAAGGUCUUCGGAUCGUAAAACUCUGUUAUUAGGGAAGAACAUAUGUGUAAGUAACUGUGCACAUCUUGACGGUACCUAAUCAGAAAGCCACGGCUAACUACGUG
rnacentral:rRNA from 1 species